AUGGCGCGGGGCGGAUUUGGCGGAGGGCGCAAGGCUCCACUGCCAAAUCAGACUCGCCAUAUGGUGUGGCAGCGGCCAGAUCCACCGUCGCCGGCGGCUGGUGGUUCGAGAUCUGGAGGUGGUGAGGUCGGAGACAGAUGGGAAGCUGCCGCGCGGGCCAUGAGCGGGGCGACCAAGGAGACGACGACGGGCGCCAAGGAGCCUCCUCCACACCCUCCACCUCCACCUCCACCGACUGGACAAGUUGCGACCAAGGGCACCAACAAGAUCUGCAUCAACUGCUCCCUCUCAGAUUAUGUUGCAUGGCCAUCCCUGCCUCACAUUGUUCCACUUGAGGAAGGGUCUAUGGAAGGGGGAGAGAACUGUAGUACUUAUACAGUUGAGUCUCCAUCUGGGUCCCCAACUCAAGAUAGCGUGAUCUAUGAGGAAUAUGCUCCACGUAGACAGAUGCAGAAGCUGGAAAAGUGGAGGACGUGGCCACCAACAGAAUGA
rnacentral:rRNA from 1 species